rnacentral:rRNA from 1 species
ACGAACGCUGGCGGCGUGCUUCACACAUGCAAGUCGAACGGAGAGGCCUGCUUUCCCUUGUGGAUUGCGGGUACUCGAGUGGCGAACGGGUGAGUAACACGUGAGUGAUCUGCCCCCAACUUGGGUAUAAGCCUGGGAAACUGGGUCUAAUUCCCGAUAGGACUGCAGGGUGGCGCCUGUGUUGGAAAACGAUUUUCUAGUGGUUGGGGAUGAGCUCGCGGCCUAUCAGCUUGUUGGUGGGGUAAUGGCCUACCAAGGCGGCGACGGGUAGCCGGCCUGAGAGGGUGGACGGCCACAUUGGGACUGAGAUACGGCCCAGACUCCUACGGGAGGCAGCAGUGGGGAAUAUGGCACAAUGGGCGGAAGCCUGAUGCAGCGACGCCGCGUGGGGGAUGACGGCCUUCGGGUUGUAAACUCCUUUCGACCGCGAGGAAGCCACCUGGUUGGAAGGGUGGUGACGGUAGUGGUAGAAGAAGCACCGGCUAACUACGUG